rnacentral:tRNA from 1 species
GCCCCUUUAGCUUAACGGAUAAAGCGCAGGCCUCCGGAGCCUGAGAUGGAAGUUCGAUUCUUCCAAGGGGCA